UGGGGAAUAUUGCGCAAUGGGCGAAAGCCUGACGCAGCGACGCCGCGUGAGGGAUGAAGGUCUUCGGAUCGUAAACCUCUGUCAGCAGGGAAGAAAGUUAUAUGUGCUAAUCAGCGUGUAAUUGACGGUACCUGCAAAGGAAGCACCGGCUAACUCCGUACCAGCAGCCGCGGUAAUACGGAGGGUGCGAGCGUUAAUCGGAAUUACUGGGCGUAAAGCGCUCGUAGGUAGUGUGACAAGUCAAGGGUGAAAUCCCCGUGCUCAACAUGGGAACUGCCUUUGAAACUGUUAUACUUGAGUGUGUGAGAGGAUAGUGGAAUUCCAGGUGUAGGAGUGAAAUCCGUAGAUAUCUGGAGGAACAUCAGUGGCGAAGGCGACUAUCUGGCACAUAACUGACACUGAGGAGCGAAGUGUGGGUAGCAAACAGGAUUAGAUACC
rnacentral:rRNA from 1 species